rnacentral:rRNA from 1 species
UACAGAGGUCUCAAGCGUUGUUCGGAUUCAUUGGGCGUAAAGGGUGCGUAGGCGGCGCGGUAAGUCGGGUGUGAAAUCUUGGAGCUUAACUCCGAAACUGCAUUCGAUACUGCCGUGCUUGAGGACUGGAGAGGAGACUGGAAUUUACGGUGUAGCGGUGAAAUGCGUAGAUAUCGGAAGGAACGCCGGUGGCGAAAGCGAUCGACUGGACCAUUUCUGACGCUGAGGCGCGAAAGCGUGGGGAGCAAACGGG